UCUACAUCCAGAUGUGCAGCAUACAUAGCGAUUGUUUAGGAAGAGGUUACAUCGUUUCAGGGUCUUCAAAGAAGUUAGGAGGACAGCGAGUACAUAAUUAAUGAUUAAUCCUCAUAGCAAGAUGUGCUGCUCCAACCAUACAGGAGAAGGUCAUUGUAUCGGCAGGUUUUUAGAUAUUGGUGAAUUGGAACAGGAAGCAUGGAAGCAUCUACCCACUUCCAUCUCCAAGGAUUUCUUCACUAGAAACGGAAAUAUAAACUGACUGGCCAAUUACCAAACAGACAAUAAAGGAGAAACAAACCCCAUAGUUAAAGACAGGAAUACCUUUUCUAAAAUUCAGCUGUCGGUGGAGCUCCAGUACCCACUGGAUGCUGUUUACCUGGAAGUGAAGAAUCAUUUAGGUUUUGCCUAAAUAUCUCUGUGCUAUAACUCCUGAGAGUUCAUUCUUCUUUUUUGUAAUGCAAGUGUCUGACUUAAGCUUUGAUUGCCUAGGCUUCCCUUUCAAAGAUAGCUAUCUCAAGUAAAAACAUGGCCAGCCACACAAGUAGAUAAAGAGUCCGGCGUGUUGCCCACCCCAACUUGGUUGAUUGUGAUAAUUGAGCAUUUUGGCCAAUUGUUUUUUCUCUUCCCGUGCUUUAAAUUCCCACUCCCACAUUUUAACUCAACCAAUAAAGAGUGAGCCUGCAAAAUUCUAGGGCCCCACUCUCAACCCCAA